AAAAAACUUCGGAAGGUUGUUACAGUUGGUGUAGUUGGAGGAUCUGAUCUUGUUAAGAUAUCAGAACAGCUAGGAAAAUCAGUGAUCACAGACUACGAUUAUGUAUUUGCCGAAAAUGGUCUUGUUGCUUACAAGAAUGACU